GUGUGUAUAGCUCAGUGGUAGAGCAUGUGCUUAUUUAGCAUGCACAAGAUCCUGGGUUCAACCCCCAGUACCUCCA
rnacentral:tRNA from 1 species